CUCCUCUCUCUCUCCUAAAUGCAGAUUUGCUCCUCUCCCCUCCAUAACUAAGGUAAAGGAUCGGUGGCGAUGGUGGAAGUGUUGAUCCUUCAUCACAUCAGGCUCAAAGCGGUUGUAGGUACGGCAGAUCGAAGGUGCGACGAAGUUCUCGGCCUUGUUGCCGCCGCCGCUCUAUUUGAGUAACAAGUCGAAGGCGGUUAUUCCGUUGAUGUUGGAGGCCAGAACUAGUUGUCGGAUUCCGUGUUGAAAUGAGGACGAGGAGGCGGAGUAUUCGAUGGCGGUGAUAGUGGAGGUCUUCGCUGUCGCCAGUAGAUCCAUCGACACCAUCGACGAACACCCUCAAAUUCAUCAACGACGGCCGCAGAACCAUAAUCUGUUCUCGUUCCUCUACUCUGCUGCUGACAUUGUUUAUUCGCGUGGUGGUGGUGGCCGUUGUGUUUCACAGCCGGAGGAGAGGAAGCGUUGCAUGUUGCUUGGUGGAAAAAUAGCAAGAUUAUUUAAUUACCAAAUUUGUAUUGUAAAUGUAAACAAUUUUAUUUAUUUUUAUUAGUCAGCAUUAAAUUGGUUUUAGUUAAGAAUAAUUUCAUUUUAGUUACAUUUUUGUUAUAUUUAGUUAAGACUAUUUUCGUUUUAGUUAAAAAUAAUUUCGUUUUAGCUAUAAUUAAAUUUGUAUUAGUUUGAAAUAAUUAGUUCGGGAUUUUUUCGUUUUA